rnacentral:rRNA from 1 species
UUAAGCAUAUCAAUAAGCGGAGGAAAAAGAAACCAACAGGGAUUGCCUCAGUAACGGCGAGUGAAGCGGCAACAGCUCAAAUUUGAAAUCUGGCCCCAGGCCCGAGUUGUAAUUUGCAGAGGAUGCUUUUGGCGCGGUGCCUUCCAAGUUCCCUGGAACGGGACGCCACAGAGGGUGAGAGCCCCGUCAGGUCGUGCAACCAAGCCUUUGUAAAGCUCCUUCGACGAGUCGAGUAGUUUGGGAAUGCUGCUCUAAAUGGGAGGUAUAUGUCUUCUAAAGCUAAAUACCGGCCAGAGACCGAUAGCGCACAAGUAGAGUGAUCGAAAGAUGAAAAGCACUUUGAAAAGAGAGUUAAAAAGCACGUGAAAUUGUUGAAAGGGAAGCGUUCAUGACCAGACUUGGGCCCGGUUGAUCAUCCAGCGUUCUCGCUGGUGCACUCUGCCGGCCCAGGCCAGCAUCAGUUCGCUCCGGGGGACAAAGGUUCAGGGAAUGUGGCUCCCCUCGGGGAGUGUUAUAGCCCUGUUCAAAUGCCCUGGGGUGGACUGAGGUCCGCGCAUUGCAAGGAUGCUGGCGUAAUGGUCAUCAACGACCCGUCUUGAAACACGGACCAAGGAGUCGUCUUCGUAUGCGAGUGUUUGGGCGUUAAACCCCGGCGCGUAAUGAAAGUGAACGCAGGUGAGAGCUUCGGCGCAUCAUCGACCGAUCCUGAUGUUCUCGGAUGGAUUUGAGUAAGAGCAUACGGGGCCGGACCCGAAAGAAGGUGAACUAUGCCUGUAUAGGGUGAAGCCAGAGGAAACUCUGGUGGAGGCUCGCAGCGGUUCUGACGUGCAAAUCGAUCG